rnacentral:rRNA from 1 species
AGAGUUUGAUCCUGGCUCAGAUUGAACGCUGGCGGCAUGCCUUACACAUGCAAGUCGAACGGCAGCACGGGAGCAAUCCUGGUGGCGAGUGGCGAACGGGUGAGUAAUAUAUCGGAACGUGCCCAGUCGUGGGGGAUAACGUAGCGAAAGCUACGCUAAUACCGCAUACGAUCUAUGGAUGAAAGCGGGGGAUCGCAAGACCUCGCGCGAUUGGAGCGGCCGAUAUCAGAUUAGCUAGUUGGUGGGGUAAAGGCCCACCAAGGCGACGAUCUGUAGCUGGUCUGAGAGGACGACCAGCCACACUGGAACUGAGACACGGUCCAGACUCCUACGGGAGGCAGCAGUGGGGAAUUUUGGACAAUGGGCGCAAGCCUGAUCC